rnacentral:lncRNA from 1 species
CUAGUUUCAUCUCUUUUUAUUUCAAUUUCACAAUCUAUUGUUAUCCGUCUUUUACGUGCCGAUGACCGCCCAUGUCACUGUAUUUCUCAAUAGGAGAAGACUGAACAAAGAGAAGAAAUUAGUCAAGUCAUUUGUCAACGUCAACUGUAACAUACGUCGCAUCAAAACGUCAACAAUCUGACACGUCUGUAAUGUUUAGCCUGACUUUUGAGUAAAAUUACCGAAAAACAUAAUUAAAAUUGAUUUAUUAAGAGUACAUAAUAACGUACGAAAAUGACCGCGGUAGAACAACCUUGUUACACACUAAUAAACUUGCCAACAGAUUCGGAGCCCUACAAUGAAAUGCAACUAAAAAUGGAUUUAG